UACGUAGGGGGCAAGCGUUGUCCGGAUUUAUUGGGCGUAAAGAGCGUGUAGGAGGCCAGAUAGGUCAGCUGUGAAAACUCGAGGCUCAACCUCGAGACGUCGGUUGAAACCAUCUGGCUAGAGUCCGGAAGAGGAGAGUGGAAUUCCCGGUGUAGCGGUGAAAUGCGCAGAUAUCGGGAAGAACACCCGUGGCGAAGGCGGCUCUCUGGGACGGUACUGACGCUGAGACGCGAAAGCGUGGGGAGCGAACAGG
rnacentral:rRNA from 1 species